GGAUUUGCCUGGCUGGGGAGAUACCUUCAUCACGAAGAUGGUUUUCCCAAAUGCAUGCCAUUUGCCUUCUGGCUGUGCCAACUUCUGCCAUUUGCCCCAAAUGUGGGAAAUUUCGCCUGCAUCAUUUGUGCAUCACUUCUGAAGAGGAAAU
rnacentral:snRNA from 1 species